AAGGUUUUAGGUUAAACUAAACCUCAAGCCUUCAAAGCUUAAAAUAAAGAGAUAUCUUUAAACCUUG
rnacentral:tRNA from 1 species